rnacentral:rRNA from 1 species
GAGUUUGAUCAUGGCUCAGAUUGAACGCUGGCGGCAUGCCUUACACAUGCAAGUCGAACGGCAGCACGGGAGCUUGCUCCUGGUGGCGAGUGGCGAACGGGUGAGUAAUGCAUCGGAACGUAUCCUGGAGUGGGGGAUAACGUAGCGAAAGUUACGCUAAUACCGCAUAUUCUGUGAGCAGGAAAGUGGGGGACCUUCGGGCCUCGCGCUCUUGGAGCGGCCGAUGUCGGAUUAGCUAGUUGGUGAGGUAAAGGCUCACCAAGGCGACGAUCCGUAGCAGGUCUGAGAGGAUGAUCUGCCACACUGGAACUGAGACACGGUCCAGACUCCUACGGGAGGCAGCAGUGGGGAAUUUUGGACAAUGGGGGCAACCCUGAUCCAGCCAUGCCGCGUGAGUGAAGAAGGCCUCGGU